rnacentral:rRNA from 1 species
AGAGACAGCAGUCGCCGCGGUAAUACAGAGGGUGCGAGCGUUAAUCGGAUUUACUGGGCGUAAAGCGUGCGUAGGCGGCUUCUUAAGUCGGAUGUGAAAUCCCUGAGCUUAACUUAGGAAUUGCAUUCGAUACUGGGAAGCUAGAGUAUGGGAGAGGAUGGUAGAAUUCCAGGUGUAGCGGUGAAAUGCGUAGAGAUCUGGAGGAAUACCGAUGGCGAAGGCAGCCAUCUGGCCUAAUACUGACGCUGAGGUACGAAAGCAUGGGGAGCAAACAGGAUUAGAUACCCGAGUAGCCCUGUCUCUUAUACA